AUUUGACAGGAAAGUAAACUGUUUAAUAAAUGUGAACUUUGCCGCGUCAAAUAUUGAGAAAAGGUGAACAAGUUCGUAAAUAAUUGUGUAACUGUUUGCUGACUCCUGGCCCAGUUGGCAAGCGUCGCCGGGGCCGUUGACAGGUACGGAGGCAUAUACAGCCCUGAGGUAGGCUGGAGAUGACAGGGAAUAGCAACAGCUCACGUGUAUGUAGACAUUUGUGGUAAACGUGCAUCAGUACAUAAUGAAAAGUACAUGUAUCGCAAGUCCAGUCUGUGAAAUACCAUAUUGAACUUUGUCAGUGCAGAGGAAUCUGAAAAGAAAUCAUGUGUGAAAGUACAAGAAGAAAUAUUGUCUCGUACUGACUUAAGAAUUAUUGUAAAUGUUUUCCUUAAGGAUGUGGUGGAGAGAGAUGUUCUAAAAAUGUCAGUGUCAAAGCGCAUAUUAGAUUACGUUGAAAUUAUUGAAAAAUCGAAAUGGAACGAUGGCCUUCCCCAUAGUGUGCUAGAGAAGGUCGAGUGAGACGUAUUCCAUUUCGAACUCCAAAAGUUAUCGAUGGAAGGUGUUAGAGGAUGCUCGGGUAACAACGGCUCAGCCCUCGGCCAGCUGGGAGUGGGAUAAUCUUUGGCUGAAUGUGUCCAUGGAUGCCCUGUAGUGUCUGUGGAUGCCCUGUAGUGUCCAUGGAUGCCCUGUAGUGUUCGUGGAUGCCCUGUAGAGAGUGCCAGAACUGGACAAUCAAGCAACUGGACUAUGUGGUUCCAUCGAGGCAUCUAUCACGUCAACCCUAAGCCCAGCCGGCGCCCAAGAGCUUGGUCUUGUUGUGAGUUGCUGACUUCUGCAGCGGGCGGCUCCGUGGGGCAGAUGGGCGCCGGCGCCACCUUCGGGGAGUCGGUGCUGAGCGACGGCCCCAGGAGGAACACCAUCAUCACCAGCGACAACUGCGAGCUCCUCAGGGUCGAGCAGAGGGACUUCAGGCACAUAUGGCAGAGAAACAAGGAGUUCAUGCAGGACGUGAUCUCCAGCUCCUCCAGGAGGGAAGCCUCCUCAGGAUCAGUCAUGGAGGAGGGUCGCGCCCUCUGGCGCCGGGUGGGCUCCCGCCGCCGCCGCUCCACCACCCCCAGAGAGCUCCCCCAGGACCCCGCCCCCAGGGACAAGGGGCGCCGCGCCUCGGCCAUCUCCCCCACCAGGGCCGCCUCCUCCUCCCCCGUCAGAGCCCCCAGCGCCCACCACCAGCAGAGAAGCAGCUCCAUCUCCGUCCCCAGGACCUCCAGUACCCUCCCGAAGGGCUUCAGCAUCACCCGGGGGACGUCCCCGGGGGACUCCGCCCCCCACAAGGGCAGCAACUCCCACGUCGGACCUUCAAUGGGCGACACGCAGAACAGGAGCAAAUGUGAGUCUCCCCCGAGGGAACCCUCGUCGAGGACCUCCACUCCCCGAGGGACGCCGACGAAGUCCCCGCCGGUGCAGGGGACCCCGACGAGGGAGGGUCCCCGGCGACCCAGCCUCACCCGGGCCUCCAGCUUCGACAGCCCCUCCGUCAGUCCCCGACGCUCCAGCUUGCGCAGCGCCGUCCUCCGCCUCCGCUGCGAGUCCCAGGACACCGCCGAGGAAGACGACGAUGACGACGACGAUGUCCCAGGGAUAAGCUUCAGGAGACUCGGUAGGGAUGACGAUGACGGGGAAGACGAAGACGAUGCCGACGAUGACGACGAAGAGGAGGAGGAUGAGGAGGAGGAAGAUGAAGACGAGGAGGAAGAGGAGGACAUGAACGAAAGCAGGCCCCCUGGGCGCGUGGUCAACGGCGACGGGGCAGGGAAGGGGCGCCGACGUGGGGGCCGCCGACGGGGCCACAAGAAGGUGGAGCAGCAGCGCUCUCAGGAGCUGGACUCCCCCAGCAACGCCGCCGUCCCCAUUGUUGAGGCCCCCAGCGUGAAGGUGUGCGAGGCGUCGUGGGUGCUGAGGACCUUGCUGCUGGCGCGAGCUCCGCACCUCCUGCGCGACCGACGACACCGCGGCGUCGUCCAGCCCAGGUGCGGCGUGGGCACCGAACUGACGGAGUGGCUCCUCUCCCUCUCCUCCACCGUCCACUCCAGGUCGCAGGCGGCUGGCAUGUGGCAGUCGCUGCUUGAGGAAGGCGCCAUCUUUCACGUGACGGGGGAGCAGCCCUUCCGGGACAAGUACCUGUUUUACCGGUUCCUGGAGGACGCAGCAGCGGCGCCAGGAGUGGCUCCGGUGAUGCCUUCGCCGUCAGAGAGACGCGAGGCUGAGGACCGACUCACUCCCAUCUUGGCCUUCCUCCAGCAGCGAGCUCCGGACUCCAUGCUCAGGAUGAUCCUCAGGAAGCCAAGCCACGAGCGGACCAUUGAAGACCAGGAACUCAUUUAUGAGGAGCUGCUCCAUCUCAAGGCUCUCUCCCAUCUCUCCAACUCCGUCAAGAGAGAGCUCGCCUCUAUCAUAAAGUUCGAGUCCCACUCCAGAGAGGGCACUAUAUUGUUCCAGCAGGGCUCCGAGGGCAAGUCAUGGUACAUUAUCUUGCGGGGGUCUGUCAACGUCGCCAUCCACGGCAAGGGCGUCGUCAACACCCUGCACGAGGGAGACGACUUCGGCAAGCUGGCUCUCGUCAACGACGCCCCCAGGGCGGCCACCAUCAUCCUGCACGAGGACAAUUGCCACUUCCUGCGGGUCGACAAGGGUGACUUCAACCGCAUCAUGAGGGACGUGGAGGCCAACACGGUCAGACUCAAGGAGCACGGCCACGAUGUGCUGGUGCUCGAGAAGAUCUCCUCCAACGCCCACUCCCACUCCCACUAUAAGUAUACAGUGAUGGCCGGGACGCCGCAGAAGAUGCUGGAGCACCUCCUGGAGACGAGGCUGGACGGUCGACGAGGCAGUGCAGGAGUGGAGAUGGCCGAGGUCAACCUCAGACGCUGUGACCUCGCCACUACCGACCUCUUCCUCGACGACUUCCUUCUCACUCACAUCGUCUUCAUGCCCUACCCGCACCUCACCCAGGAGCUCCUCAGACAUUACCGUAUGGACAGCCAAGGCAACAGUCAGGACGAGGAGUUCAUCGUGGCCAGCAAGAGGAGGGUCAUCCACUUCGUACAUCGCUGGGUCAUGACCAUCAAGAACCCCGUCUUCUGUAAUGCUUCCGCCACGCAGUUCUUGCAGACACUGCAGGAGGAGGUGGCCAAGGACGUGGAGGAGUAUGGGGUGGCGCUGCGGGACGAGGCUUCACUGAUGCUGAGCGUGGCCGAGGCCCUGGAGCGUCACGAGAGGGACAACUCCUCGGCCGGAGUCAGCAAGUGGAAGCUGCCCACCAGCGGCAGACCCAUCAGCCUCUUCGGGGUGUCGUCGACGGAGGUCUCGGUGGAGCAGCACAGAGUAAUGCGGGCCCAGGACGACAGUAAGGGCAGCGGCAUGACCUCCGACGUUUCUCUCUCUCACCCCUUGAUGUGCUCCUCUGUCAUCUUCCGGGUGUACUGCGCCGACCACACCUACUGCACCCUCAGGUUCUCCCUCCAGACGACUAGCGACGUCAUCAAGAGGUCCGCCGCCGACAAGCUGGGUAUUCGUCAGGAGAACCUGCUGCUGGUGGAACUGAAGUCGACUGGGGAGGUGGUGCCCCUCCGGGAAAAAGAGGUUUGCCCUCCCACGGGUCUCAGCCUCAACGGGCGUCUCUUCAUCUCCAACAAGGACCACCUCGACGCCCUGAUGCCACUUCCUGAGCAGGAGGGUCCGUCGGAAGGGACGAUCAACCAGCUGGAGAUGUACAGCACGCGAGAGCUGGCCUACCAUGUCACUCUCCACGACUGGGACCUCUUCAGCGCCAUUCACGAGUACGAGUUCCUGUACCAGGUGUUUGGGCGGGACCACUUUGGCCAGGUCAUGUGUAAUCUGGACGUGUUCCUGCGCCGCUUCAACGAGAUCCAGUACUGGGUGGUGACGGAGAUCUGCCUCGCCAACACCCUCUCCAAGCGAGCCCAACUCCUCAGGAAGUUCAUCAAGCUCGCUGCAUACUGUAAAGAACACCAGAACUUGAACGCUUUCUUCGCUAUUGUCAUUGGUCUUAGCAACGUGGCCAUCUCUCGACUCUCACAGACCUGGGAGCGUCUGUCUUCAAGGUUCCGCAAGAUGUACACAGAGUUCGAGAUGCUGAUCGACCCCUCCAAGAACCACCGGGCCUACAGGAUCUACGUCUCCAAGCUCCACGCUCCCAUCCUCCCCUUCACGCCUCUCCUCAUGAAGGGUAAAAGCAACAUACAUGACCUUCACACACGAGGGGAACCGCACCCUCACAGACGGUCUGGUCAACUUUGAGAAGAUGCACAUGUUGGCGCAAACACUUCGAACUAUUCGAUAUUGUCGAUCCAGACCGCUUGCCCUUGAAAUUCCGCCCGUGCCUAAAAGUGAAAAUGAGAUCAGAGUCUACGUCAGAAAUCUUCAGGUUAUCGAUAACCAGCGCCGGCUCUUGGCCCUCUCUCAGCGACACGAACCUAAAAGACCAUGAGUAGAAAGG
rnacentral:misc_RNA from 1 species